rnacentral:lncRNA from 1 species
ACUUAAAAAUUUACUGGCAACUGUACUUAUUUGAAUAAAAGAUAAAAUUUCAAUACAAUGAAAUUUUGAUAUAAUGAAGCAAAUUGGCGAUUUUACCGACUUCAUUAUAUUGAGGUAUAACUGCAUAACUAAUUUAGUCAACGUAAUAUUUCACUGCAGUUGAUCAACUGGAGGCUGCAUCUUUAUACAGGCCUCAAUCACAUACAAGACACAAGUUCCAAAAAAAAAAUAAUAAUAAAAUUUCUCGCAGCCUUUGAAUGCAGUCCAUAAUUGUUGGGCACAUCCAGUAAUUGUGUCUGUGAAAACCGCUGUGCACUUGUUAUUCCAGGCUAGAUGUCUAUGUCGUAAAAAAAAAAAGUACUUUUUCUUGCUUGGCUCUUGUGUCUUACAAGCAUUUAUUGGCAACAGUGCGUGUCAAGUGCUAAACAACAAACAGCACCCUAUGGCUAGCUAAACGAGCUCACCGU